rnacentral:tRNA from 1 species
GCGAAGAUGGCGGAAUUGGCAGACGCGCUAGCUUCAGGCGCUAGUGAAGCAAUUCGUGAGGGUUCGAGUCCCUUUCUUCGCA